UACGGACAUAUCACGCUGAGACAUAGGUUCUCGUGCGAUCAGUGAAGUUAAGCAACGUUAGGCCUGAUCAGUACCUAGAUGGUUGACCGUUUGGUAAUGCCAGGUGUUGUAAU